rnacentral:rRNA from 1 species
UUACAACCCGAAGGCCUUCUUCACCCACGCGGUAUGGCUGGAUCAGGCUUGCGCCCAUUGUCCAAUAUUCCCCA